ACUCUGCACUGAACUGAUUUAACAGUAGAACCUGCUGAAAUAGCUCUCACUGGUGAAACAUAAGCUAAAAUCAAAGCAACAACAAUGAAAAGCCACUGCAUUUGGGGAUAAAAAAUGUUAGCAAGAAAAGCUUCUUAAGGACCUACUAUAAUGAUCAGAAUCCAAGAACAGAAUUCAUUGCCGAUGGAGCCCAAGACGUUUUUCAGCUGAAGUAUCUUGGUCAGCAAGAGGUUAUGCGACUUUGUUUACAGAGUGGCAGAGUGGGUGGGAGGAGACCCCAGGGGCCUGAGAGCAGGCAGCUCCUCAUGAAACAUCCCAACUCACAGUGAGGAUGCUCCCCACGAGCUUCAUGAGACAAUUCACUGACUUUUUAUGGGGAAUCAAGGGAGGGAGAAAUUUCUGUCAAGUCUGAGUACCGGGGAUCAUUAUGCUUAUUCUGACCUACUGUAAUGCAGCUCAUGGAUAAUGUGAACUGUGUAAGUGCUUGUUUGCCCUUUAGGACAGUGAUCAGAAGCUGGACGGCAAAACCCUGAUUCUCUCCUGGCCAUGGGCCAGCAGCGCCUGCAGACACACACACCUCCGCCUUCAUCUCAGUCAUUGGCUGCCCUGCUUCUUUCCCCCUUGGCCUUGAUGGCCUCACAUACUUUCAUUGUCAUCCUAUAUACAUCAGGCCCUUUAAAACAUCCACUGGAGAAUAGGUAGGCUAUAAACAAAAUGUCGAAGGACGAGUCUUUGCUUUUCUUGUGUUAGCUUCAGGGUUCUUUUCAUCAUGCUGUGUCCAGACAAUGGAAAAGGGUUUAAAUACUUACAUCCACUGAAGAAUUGGCACAAUUUGUUCAAACGUUUCAAAAUUUCCCCCGCCACUUUCUUACCUAAUUGGUAUGCUUAAAAUUUUUCCAAUGCCGCAUCCAAAUAAUUAAAGAUGUGAGAUUUCUUAGCAAUUCUUCCAAUGCAAAGGCAUCCAAAUUGCUGAGGCUUGGCUACCACAAAGCUGACCAGAAGCUCAAAAAGAAUCAUCUUUUAUUUUUUCUUAUCGGUUCAUUGAAUUAUAGUGUCAAAAUUGGUUUGUUUCAAGGAUGGUCAUUUAUCAAUAUUACACAAAACUUAAGGGGAAAAAUUCUAUUCUUUUUUCUUUACUUUUGUGCUCUUAUUGUUGUUUUUAUUGCCGAAUAAGCACUUUUUUGCACGUCUCCCUGGGAUGGUGAAAGAUGCUCGUUCCAACCUUAUUUAUACCUGAAUCCCCUCCUGUUUCUGUAUGUGCCCAGCCCAGUUUCCACGCUUCACGUUUUUCAUGGCCGGUGACUCAGACUUUGUAGGGACAAAAUUAAUACUUGCUGAAUACAUCCUCAGAGCGGCUACCAAAAUGGGAAAUGGUAGAAACAAAGAAGCAAUCACAGAAGAUAAAGUAACUGCAGCUCUGGAAAUAGAGAAACUGCAUGAUAGUCCUGCUUUUCAACUCAUACUUCCUCCAAAGAGAGAAAGAUUUUGUUUCUCUGUACUGAGGGUGGAAAGUGAUGUACCUCUGGCUUUGUCUGAUUUGAAAGAAAUAAUUCUAAAUAACAUUUUUCUUGUUUUGCUUUACUUCAGAGAAACCGGAGCACUUAAUGCCAUGGGUAUGAGCAAAUUGUCUCCGGUUUCCUAGUAUUUCUAUAACAAUCAGACCAAAAAAGAUCAAACAGGAAAAAUUCAGAGGUUUCAAAGGUCUAUGCCUAGCUCAGAGCUGCUCCUGACAGCAGGCUUUGCCAGGCGUCUGCUCUUCCUAGUGAGGUGGGGUGAUGGCCAGUGCCCUGCCGCUGUGAUUUGCUCUGAGCUUCGUGUGUGGCUGGCCUAGAAGAACAGCUGACCAGAUUUUUCUUGUGGGCAACUUGCCUCUUUUCUGAAGCUAAAAGUAACGGGGGCCUUUGGACUGUGGCACGACCCCAGGGAUUCUGUGACUAUUAAGUCAUCUGGCUUUGCCAUAAACACUCAAGGUACAUACCUCUUGCCAUGAUAGAUGAGUAUACACUGGUCUUUCCUUCAAGAACAAUUCAACAAGCUUGACAAAAUAUUUUUUUAAUAUUCUGUUUGAAGGCUUUGAAGAGCUAUCAGGGCAGCCAGACAUAAGAAGCCAAGACUCCAAACGGAAGAGGAACUCAUUGAGAUGAGCGUCGCUGUUUUUGCCACUUUUCCCUUGAGCUGCGGUGAGCAUCUACAUUUCCGAAGCAAAAUGUUUUUGUCAACACUCUUGAAAAGUCCCAAUCUGGUUAACAUUCUCCUCGAAUGGUCGUCAAACCAUUACAAUGGGUGAUGGUGGCAUAUUCAUGGUAUCCAUUCAAUGUAUUGUCAUGUGCAAAUGAAUGAAUUACCAAUAUAUGCAAGAACUUGGAUAAUUAUCAAUUUUUAAUAAAUAACCCAAAAAGUAUACACAUAUUUUGGGUCCUGCCUAUAUAACAUUCCUCUGUAUAAAUUAUGUUGGUGGAGGUAAGGAUAGUAGACAUCUUAGGGGAAGAAGCAAAUUGUUAAUAAUGAUUGUAUGACAGCAAAAGGGAGCUCUGGGGGGUAGUAACGUCUUAUUUUAGAACUGGGAUGUCCUUCACCAGUGUGUUUGUUUUGUGAAAAUUCAUCACGCUUGACCUUUAGGAUUCAUAACAGCAUACAGAUACACAUAUGCAUCUAUACACACAUAUACAUAUGUACACAUCAUCAACCAAUGGUUGUUGGCACCAAUUCAACGCCAACAGGAACUCCUAAACUGUGGUGUAGUGAAGAAAGCAACUUCAUUCAGUGAGAAACAGCUCAGUUGUGGUAAAGCAUGACUAUGCAAAUAGUGUGGUUGAGAGGCAGCCCUGGGGUCAGGUGGUGCUGAGGCCAGGCCUCUCUCUGGCUAGACAGCUCUGCUCUGCUCUUCUGUGGUCUAGUCUGCUCCUCACCAGUCUGCUCUGUGCUGAGCUUUCAUCAGUAUUUCAGCUCACUCAGUCAGGAAAACUCAGAGUUAGGUAGACAGGGAAAGUGCAUUCUUUGGGUCAGAGGGGAGUUGGCUUACAUGGACAGA